UGCACUUACAUUUUUUUUUUUUUUGCCUAUAUGUAACGAAUAGAAUGGUAAUAGAGACCUUGAAAACCUAUAAAUAAUAGUCGUUACUUAAUGUUAUGGCCAUUAUUUAAAAACAUGAUACUGUGUAAGAGAAAAGCCAGCAUACCUUUACAAUGAAAACAUAACAACUUCCAAGGCUGGAAUUUGAAAUCAAUCAGUAUUAAUUUUCUUAAUCUUGCUGCAAUAAAGGAUACCUACAUGUAACAUGAAAAAGGAUCUCAAGCAUAAAUAUAAAUCUAAGUUAUUUAACACGAAAAAGGAUCUCAAGCAUAUAUCCACGUCUAUAUUUAUAUAGCCUAGGAAUGCAAAAUGGCAAAUCUCAAACCAAGAUAUGACCACACCUGUCAAUCACUCAACUGGCUGUUUAAUCAGAGCCGCUAGUGAAUUGAGGAGAAUUAGUAGACACUAUUAUCUGUGCCUGUCCUGAAUCGGGAUUACCCAUUCCUGAAGGAUGUGGUGCUUGAUUUGAGGGAAAGGUAGCUGUGGCUGUUCUAUUAUUGGCAAGUCCACCAAAUUGCGCAAUUUGAUGACCUGGCAUUAAAUAAUUUUGAGCAGUUUGAGCAGUGGUAUAGCCAUGAGUGCCAGGAAUUGGUUGGCCAAACUGUCCCCGUGAGCUUACCCCAGGAUUAACAGUCCCUGGCAUGCCGUAUACCUGAACAUAUUGCUGACCCGCAUAAGGAUUGUAAACACCCUGGGAAAGACCAACAGAACACAUCAGCAUCGAGCUUUCAGAUAUCAAGACAGUAAUUAUAGUUGGAAAUAUUGACCUGUGGAUAGACAUAUUCAGACCCAUAAGUUGCAUACCUGCAAUAAAGAAAAUUUUGAAUUUCCUGAGAUAAAAGAAAAACAGAGAUAUUACACUGUGAGGCGCAACGCGCAAGAAUUCCUGUCAAACAUUAUAGAUGUUCCAGUAAUUCGGAUCCAAAAGUUGCAAGAGCUGAAAUACUUGUUAUUUUGUAUUAAGAAAGAAACAAAUUAGUCCCACAAGUCCUGUUGUCUUAGAAAUGAUUUUCUUAUUCUCCUUGGACAAUUGAAAAAUUAACAGUAUCCAAAAGCAAGCAGCAGAGGACUAGCUCAGAAAACAGAACAAAGAAAUUAUUAGACGAAUAUACCAACGCAAAGAUUAUGAAGUAUCGGGGCUAGACUUAAGCACCUGGAAAACGUCAAGUGAAUAACAUGGAAUCAGAGAGUUCUUUAUAAAACGGCAAAUGGAAAAUGCGACACCCACUGAAACCAUGAAAGAAAAGAGGCAAAGUGCAAGCUCUAACUCAAAAGCAUUGAGCAUGAAAAGAAUGAAAGAAAUUACAUACCCAUAAGGAGGAUAGAAGAACCCAGGUUGGUAACCGUAGGGAACUGGUUGGGGAUAAGCAGCCCUAGGGGAGUUCGUGGUUCCAAAAGGCGGAAUCGGUGAUCUCUGAGGAGCAGAAGCACGGCCGAGGGAAGCAAGAUUACAGUUAGCCCUGCGACCAUCGAUGAGAGGAUUAGGGUCAGCACAAGCCCUUCUGGCAGAGUCAGUAUCACGAAAAGUGACGAAACCGUAGCCUUUGGAACGGCCGGUGUUCUUGUCAUAGAUGACGACGGCCUCAAGGAUGUCACCGUAGUGCUGGAAGUGACGACGUAAGGUGUGGCUCUGAGUUUCCCAUGCCAAACCUCCGACGAAAAGCUUAGUGUAAGUGGUAUCUCUAUCAGGAAAUGGAGAAUUCAUAUCGGAAAUUGAAAUGUAAAGGUAAUUGACAACCUGAGAAUUAAGAGAUGGAAUUGAAACGAGGGAGAUGUGGGUGGCGUUCGGCCGGAAUAUGUUUCAGUCUGACGUGGAAAUUGACUUUUUGUUCGUGACUUAGUGCUCAUCCGAAUAUCAAUC
rnacentral:misc_RNA from 1 species